GGGGAGAACUCAGCAGCAGACUUGGUUCAUGCCUUAGUUUAUAUUUCUCACAUGAUAUCCUUAUGAAACAUACAUCAUUCUGAAAUACAAUAAAACUAGUGAAAUCAAGACAUGGACCCACAUCAGAAUAAUGUUAGUCAUUCUGUAUAGAAGAGAAACAUGCUGAUUCUGCUCUGAGGGAUUCUAGAACAUGCUGAUUCUGCUCUGAGGGAUUCUAGAACAACAUGAUGAUUCUGCUCUGAGGGAUUCUAGAACAACAUGAUGAUUCUGCUCUGAGGGAUUCUAGAACAACAGGAUGAUUCUGCUCUGAGGGAUUCUAGAACAACAUGAUGAUUCUGCUCUGAAGGAUUCUAGAACAACAUGAUGAUUCUGCUCUGAGGGAUUCUAGAACAACAUGAUGAUUCUGCUCUGAGGGAUUCUAGAACAACAUGAUGAUUCUGCUCUGAGGGAUUCUAGAACAACAUGAUGAUUCUGCUCUGAGGGAUUCUAGAACAACAUGAUGAUUCUGCUCUGAGGGAUUCUAGAACAACAUGAUGAUUCUGCUCUGAGGGGAUUCUAGAACAACAUGAUGAUUCUGCUCUGAGGGAUUCUAGAACAACAUGAUGAUUCUGCUCUGAGGGAUUCUAGAACAACAUGAUGAUUCUGCUCUGAGGGAUUCUAGAACAACAUGCUGAUUCUGCUCUGAGGGAUUCUAGAACAACAUGAUGAUUCUGCUCUGAGGGAUUCUAGAACAACAUGAUGAUUCUGCUCUGAGGGAUUCUAGAACAACAUGAUGAUUCUGCUCUGAGGGAUUCUAGAACAACAUGCUGAUUCUGCUCUGAGGGAUUCUAGAACAACAGGGAAUUCUGUUUCCUUCCUGUUGAUGUACUGUCAGAUGGAAACACUCUAACCCAACAUGUAGAUUCUACUCUGUGAAUGACGAGGUUUGUGGCACAGAUCAUUAUCAUGAAAUAACAGACAACAGUUCACAGUAAACACAGACUAUCAUUGUGCACAACCCUAUACAACCCUAUUACAUAGCAUCAGCAAGGUACAUAAAACACUGACACCAUCCCUUUAAGGCCGAUAGAUAGGUCAUCCCUUUAAGACCUACACACAGUUCACCCCGUAAAAGACAGACAAUAAAGGUCAACCCUGUAAGACCGACAGACAGGUCAUCCCUUUAAGACCGACAGACAGGUCAUCCCUUUAAGACUGACGGGCAGGUCAUCCCUUUAAGACCGACAGACAGGUCAUCCCUUUAAGACCGACAGACAGGUCAUCCCUUUAAGACCGACAGGCAGGUCAUCCCUUUAAGACCGACAGGCAGGUCAUCCCUUUAAGACCGACAGACAGGUCAUCCCUUUAAGACCGACGGGCAGGUCAUCCCUUUAAGACCGACGGGCAGGUCAUCCCUUUAAGACCGACGGGCAGGUCAUCCCUUUAAGACCGACAGACAGGUCAUCCCUUUAAGACCUCAAAUAUAUUUGAAAAACGAGUUAAAAAAUGAUUAUUUACAAAAAUACUUUGCUGUGUAAACUUUUCAUUUUCAUUCCAACCAAAGGUUAGAGUUAGGUACUCUCUACCCCUAACCCUCUAUCCCCCUGUCUACCCC
rnacentral:lncRNA from 1 species